GNAUUUAUUGGNUUUAAAGGGUGCGUAGGCGGCCUUUUNAAGUCAGCGGUGAAAGUCUGUGGCUCNNCCAUAGAAUUGCCGUUGAAACUGGGAGGCUUGAGUAUGUUUGAGGCAGGCGNNNGCGUGGUGUAGCGGUGAAAUGCUUAGAUAUCACGCAGAACCCCGAUUGCGAAGGCAGCCUGNCCAAGCCAUGACUGACGCUGAUGCACGAAAGCGUGGGGAUCAAACAGGAUUAGAUACCCUGGUAGUCCACGCAGUAAACGAUGAUCACUAGCUGUUUGCGAUACAUUGUAAGCGGCACAGCGAAAGCGUUAAGUGAUCCACCUGGGGAGUACGCCGGCAACGGUGAAACUCAAAGGAAUUGACGGGGGCCCGCACAAGCGGAGGAACAUGUGGUUUAAUUCGAUGAUACGCGAGGAACCUUACCCGGGUUUGAACGCAUUCGGACCGAGGUGGAAACACCUUUUCUAGCAAUAGCCGUUUGCGAGGUGCUGCAUGGUUGUCGUCAGCUCGUGCCGUGAGGUGUCGGCUUAAGUGCCAUAACGAGCGCAACCCUUGCCACUAGUUACUAACAGGUGAUGCUGAGGACUCUGGUGGGACUGCCAGCGUAAGCUGCGAGGAAGGCGGGGAUGACGUCAAAUCAGCACGGCCCUUACAUCCGGGGCGACACACGUGUUACAAUGGCGUGGACAAAGGGAUGCCACCUGGCGACAGGGAGCGAAUCCCCAAACCACGUCUCAGUUCGGAUCGGAGUCUGCAACCCGACUCCGUGAAGCUGGAUUCGCUAGUAAUCGCGCAUCAGCCAUGGCGCGGUGAAUACGUUCCCGGGCCUUGUACACACCGCCCGUCAAGCCAUGGGAGCCGGGGGUACCUGAAGUCCGUAACCGCGAGGAUCGGCCUAGGGUAAAACUGGUGACUGGGGCUAAGUCGUAACAAGGUAACAAUCACUAGUGAAUUCGCGGCCGCCUGCAGGUCGACCAUAUGGGAGAGCUCCNNA
rnacentral:rRNA from 1 species